rnacentral:rRNA from 1 species
CAGUCGCCACGGGAAUACGUAGGUGGCGAGCGUUGUCCGGAAUCAUUGGGCGUAAAGGGAGCGCAGGCGGGCAUGUAAGUCUUUCUUAAAAGUGCGGGGCUCAACCCCGUGAUGGGAAAGAAACUAUGUGUCUUGAGUACAGGAGAGGAAAGCGGAAUUCCCAGUGUAGCGGUGAAAUGCGUAGAUAUUGGGAGGAACACCAGUGGCGAAGGCGGCUUUCUGGACUGCAACUGACGCUGAGGCUCGAAAGCCAGGGGAGCGAACGGGAUUAGAUACCCGCGUAGUCCCUGUCUCUUAUACA